GUGGGGAAUCUUGCGCAAUGGGCGAAAGCCUGACGCAGCCAUGCCGCGUGAAUGAUGAAGGUCUUAGGAUUGUAAAAUUCUUUCACCGGGGACGAUAAUGACGGUACCCGGAGAAGAAGCUCCGGCUAACUUCGUGCCAGCAGCCGCGGUAAUACGAAGGGGGCUAGCGUUGCUCGGAAUUACUGGGCGUAAAGGGCGCGUAGGCGGACAGCUUAGUCAGAGGUGAAAGCCCAGGGCUCAACCUUGGAAUUGCCUUUGAUACUGGCUGUCUUGAGUUUGGGAGAGGUGAGUGGAACUCCGAGUGUAGAGGUGAAAUUCGUAGAUAUGCGGAAGAACACCAGUGGCGAAGGCGACUCACUGGCCCAAUACUGACGCUGAGGCGCGAAAGCGUGGGGAGCAAACAGGAUUAGAAACCCCAGUAGUCC
rnacentral:rRNA from 1 species